rnacentral:rRNA from 1 species
UGGGGGCAACCCUGAUCCAGCCAUGCCGCGUGAGUGAAGAAGGCCCUCGGGUUGUAAAGCUCUUUUGUCCGGAAAGAAAAGCAUUCGGUGAAUACCCGGAUGUUCUGACGGUACCGGAAGAAUAAGCACCGGCUAACUUCGUGCCAGCAGCCGCGGUAAUACGGAGGGUGCGAGCGUUGUUCGGAAUUACUGGGCGUAAAGCGCGUGCAGGCGGUCUCUUAAGUCUGGUGUGAAAGCCCGGGGCUCACCCCCGGAAGGGCACUGGAGACUGGGAGGCUAGAGUACCGGAGAGGAAGGGAGAAUUCCGGGUGGAGCGGUGAAAUGGGUAGAUAUCAGGAGGAAAACCGGUGGCGAAGGCGGCCUUCUGGACGGCUACUGACGCUGAGACGCGAAGGCGUGGGGAGCAAACA